UCCCUGAUUGAACUAUCAUGCAGCAUUACCUGAUUUUCAGAGCUUGCAUUAAAGGUUUCAAUUGCGAUACGUUUAUGUCAUUGAUGAACAGCACCUCAUUGCAAGAGGGAUUGGGCACUUCCAUAGAGUUUCCUGAAAUGUUUGCCAGUUUGAUUUCAAUGAAAGUUUGGGGAAUUGACCCUUCUGAGCAGUCCCAGUUUCUUUCUCUAUCUUCAGGCACCUAAAUGAACUCCCUAAGAAACUUCAUGUUCCUAUUCCAAACAUUUAGUCUGAGAAAAGGCAGCAUAAAUAGUGCAGUUGCUAAAAUCAUGGCAUAAGCACUUCCAAAAUUCACCCAGAGAGAACAUUUCUGGUAUGUACUUACACUUCAGCAGCAUACUGCUAUUCUUUCUAGGAGUCUCUGGAUACAGGCUUGGAAUCAUGAUCUGAUUAUUCUUGCUGAGACCAUCCAAGAAGCGUAGAACUGAAGCAGUUUUUGUAAGCAGCUUCAACAUGCAGGGAUUCACUUCUCAAUGAGUACAUUGGUGUAUGUCCUUGGUUAAAUUAGCAUGAAGAAUUACCUCUUCU
rnacentral:lncRNA from 1 species